UGUGUUGCCAUAGUGAUUGUAUUCAGUAGCAUAUGGAAUAUACCGCAUCCCUACCAAUGCUGUUAAAAUCGGCCUCUGUUACACUUUUGUGUUCGGCUGCGCCAGUUUGUAAUGCAUGUCUGACAUUAACACUUUAAACUUGAAUGCAAACUCUUUGACCGGAUCUGUGUUUGGACUUUCCUGGAAAAAUCAUUCCCGGUCAAAUAAAUCAGCUGAAAUCGUUCUGGGUGGAUAAGAAGCCCUUAUGAUGUUCUUGCUGUUUAAAAUUGGUAUUUAAUCGGCAAAAGCCUUUCAUUGUUUUUGUGAGAGAGGGUAGGCGGAAUUCCCCAAUGUUUGACAAGUUUUACAAUAAUGGCCAGCAAGGAACAUCCCUUCAUAAAAAAACGGAAAGUAUAAUGAAUAACAGAAUAGCGAUGCUGGGAUAUUCCUGAUGAAUUAGCGAUGUGACACUGUAUCUAAAGAGGCGAUCACCCCGGGCAGUCCCAGUAAGUCUAGCAGUGUUCACCUGCCCAGGAGACCAAAAAUGCCCAGAAGGAAAAUUCUGCCGACCUCAGGUCCAUAGGUCCUGCCAGUGGUUUGCCCACAUUGAAACAUGAAUGCUGUCCACACACUAUGCAAUUGGUUCAGAAUGCGUCCCUACAUGACAGUUAAUUCAUCCUGCCCUGGUCGGAAGCUAAUGGUGGCAUUGACUCGACUACCGUGACCUAGGCCUCGAUCACGUACCUUCAAUAUUGCUCAUAUAAUACUAAUGAUAUACGGUAAAAA